CGGGAUGGUGCUUUUUUGCAACCUGCCUAAGAAGUUUGCUAAUGCCCCUGAUUUAUUAUAGGGGCUGAGAGAAACAGCUUUGCACAGCAGGAUAAGCAUGCUUUUGACUUGGUUCCAGGAUAUGAUCUGCAGAGCCCUGGGAAGAGAACUCUCUCCUCUGCCUUCCUGUGCUCCUCCAAGAGGGAAUGCUGGGUGCUCAGCACAUCCAGAGGGUUGGACCUCCGAGUUUCACAGAAUGACAGCAGCAAUAUUCAGAGACAAUAUCCAGGGAAAAGGUUUGCCAUUGGAAGUUGCUGAAGAAAUAUUGUCUCCUGCUCCUGGCUAUGGCAACUGGAAUUAGCAGACCAAUCCUUUCCUUCCCUUCUCCCUGAAAAGGACAGUGGGAGGCCAGGACACCACCUUUAUCUGAAGGCUUAUAUUGAAACUCUGAACAAGCAGUCCAUGAUUUUGAAGGAGAGGAGGAGGGCUUUUUCCCUCACCUGAGGAAUCUGCUCUUGAGCUGAAGACCACAGCCUCUAAAAGCCUGGAGUGGUGAUGUUUGUCUUUCAGAAAUCCAUGCAGGUUUUGUUUUAAGGAAAAGAGUGUUUACUCACCAAGGACAUGUUUCCAAACUCUCCAUCCGCACCAGUCCUGGUUUUUAUGGUGUCUCAUCACAGAUCCCUGUAAAGCUCUGGGUGCAGGGCUCCUCAGUGCUGGGCCCUCAGUCCAGGAAGGGUGAAGGAGGUGCCUGAUGUGGUCCAGAGAUCUGCUCCCAGACAGCAAAGGAAUGGAAAGGACGUUUUGCACGUGGCCGAAUUCCUGCAGAAUUACUUUACUGCUGAAAAUAAGCACACUAAUAAUGCGUGGAGGUUUCUACCCACCCAACCCAUCUAUCAGAUGGAACUUGUGAAAGUGGUGGAAUAAGAGGU